rnacentral:ncRNA from 1 species
AAAGGUAGAGGUGCGGAUGAGAUCAGUAGCUGCUUCGAGGAUGACCGUUCCGAUGAAAGGCAGUGAAAGGCAAUUCCGCCGAAGGGCUGUUUCCGGUAAAUUCAGCUCUGGCCGCGGAUUUAAUAGAUUUGCGGCUGUCAUCAUUACAUUAUGGUGGAGAGCUAUCGG